GACGAACGCUGGCGGCGUGCUUAACACAUGCAAGUAGAACGCAGUUGCGAACGGGUGAGUAACGCGUAGGUAACUGCCUGGUAGCGGGGGAUAACUAUUGGAAACGAUAGCUAAUACCGCAUACUACCAGAUGGACCUGCGUUGUAUUAGCUAGUUGGUGAGGUAACGGCACACCAAGGCAACGAGACAUAGCCGACCUGAGAGGGGGGUCGGUCACACAGGAACUGAGAGACGGCCCAGACUCCUACGGGAUGCAGCAGUAGGGAAUCUUCGGCGAUGGUGGGGACCCUGACCGAGCAACGCCGCGUGAGUGAAGAAGAUUUUAGGAUCGUAAAGCUCUGUUGUUGAGGAAGCGGUACUUAACCAGGAAGGGACGGCUAACUACGUGCCAGCAGCCGCGGUAAUAC
rnacentral:rRNA from 1 species